rnacentral:rRNA from 1 species
CCCUUAGAUGUUCCGGGCCGCACGCGCGCUACACUGACGAAUGCAACGAGCUUAUAACCUUGGCCGAAAGGUCUGGGUAAUCUCCAAAUUUCGUCGUGAUGGGGAUAGAUUAUUGCAAUUAUUAAUCUUCAACGAGGAAUGCCUAGUAAGCGCAAGUCAUCAGCUUGCGUUGAUUACGUCCCUGCCCUUUGUACACACCGCCCGUCGCUCCUACCGAUUGAAUGGUCCGGUGAAGCGCUCGGACCGCGGCCUCUUGACGGUUUUCCGUCGAUUGGCUGUGGGAAGUUCGUUAAACCUUAUCAUUUAGAGGAAGGAGAAGUCGUAACA